rfam:Octopus bimaculoides Scaffold17354_contig_31, whole genome shotgun sequence.
UCCUCAGUAGUAUAGUGGUAGUAUCCCUGCCUGUCACGCAGGAGACCGGGGUUCGAUUCCCCACCGGGGAG